rnacentral:rRNA from 1 species
GAUAAACGCUGGCGGCGUGCAUGAGACAUGCAAGUCGAACGAGUGCCGGGCAACCGGUGCUAGUGGCGGACGGCUGAGUAACGCGUUGGUGACCUACCCCGAAGUGGGGAAUAACUGCCAGAAAGGGUGGCUAAUACCGCAUGUGGGCGCACGUUCGGUCGUGCGAGUAAAGCCGCAAGGCGCUGCGGGAGGGGCCUGCGUCCGAUUAGCUCGUUGGUGGGGUAAUGGCUUACCAAGGCGACGAUCGGUAGGUGGUCUGAGAGGACGAUCACCCAGACUGGGACUGAGACACGGCCCAGACUCCUACGGGAGGCAGCAGUCGGGAAUUUUGCUCAAUGGGGGAAACCCUGAAGCAGCAACGCCGCGUGAGGGAUGAAGGCCUUCGGGUUGUAAACCUCUUUUGUCAGGGACGAUGAUGACGGUACCUGGCGAAUAAGCCACGGCUAACUACGUGCCAGCAGCCGCAGUAAGAC